rfam:Glycine soja cultivar W05 scaffold3793_3, whole genome shotgun sequence.
UUCUUAUUGGAUAAUGAUUGCCACGUGUUAUGUUCUGAUUGAAUGUCAACUCCAUGAAAGAUGAAAUACAUUGUUGUUUUCAUUGACCAAUCAGAACAUGACACGUGACAGUCAUCAUCC